GACGAACGCUGGCGGCGUGCUUAACACAUGCAAGUCGAACGGAAAGGCCCUGCUUUUGUGGGGUGCUCGAGUGGCGAACGGGUGAGUAACACGUGAGUAACCUGCCCUUGACUUUGGGAUAACUUCAGGAAACUGGGGCUAAUACCGGAUAGGAGCUCCUGCUGCAUGGUGGGGGCUGGAAAGUUUCGGCGGUUGGGGAUGGACUCGCGGCUUAUCAGCUUGUUGGUGGGGUAGUGGCUUACCAAGGCUUUGACGGGUAGCCGGCCUGAGAGGGUGACCGGCCACAUUGGGACUGAGAUACGGCCCAGACUCCUACGGGAGGCAGCAGUGGGGAAUAUUGCACAAUGGGCGGAAGCCUGAUGCAGCAACGCCGCGUGCGGGAUGACGGCCUUCGGGUUGUAAACCGCUUUCGCCUGUGACGAAGCGUGAGUGACGGUAAUGGGUAAAGAAGCACCGGCUACUACGUG
rnacentral:rRNA from 1 species